CGUGUAGGUGGCUAAUUAAGUCAGGUGUGAAAUCCUUCCGCUUAACGGGAGAAGUGCACUUGAAACUGCUUAGCUAGAGUACGGGAGAGGAAGGUGGAAUUCCUGGUGUAGAGGUGAAAUUCAUAGAUAUCGGGAAGAACACCGGUGGCGAAGGCGGCCUUCUGGCCCGAUACUGACGCUGAGACGCGAAAGCGUGGGGAGCAAACAGGAUUAGAUACCCUGGUAGUCCACGCCGUAAACGUUGGGCACUAGGUGUGGGAGGUUUUUAUUCCUCCUUUGCCGAAGCUAACGCAUUAAGUGCCCCGCCUGGGGAGUACGGUCGCAAGGCUAAA
rnacentral:rRNA from 1 species